rnacentral:rRNA from 1 species
GAUGAACGCUAGCUACAGGCUUAACACAUGCAAGUCGAGGGACCGGCGCACGGGUGAGUAACACGUAUCCAACCUGCCCUUUACUCGGGGAUAGCCUGUCGCAAGAAAGAUUAAUACCCGAUAUAAAGGAUGGGGAUGCGUUCCAUUAGGGUGUGGGGGAGGUAACGGCUCACCAAGCCUUCGAUGGAUAGGGGUUCGGAGGGGAAGGUCCCCCACAUUGGAAAUGAGUCACGGUCCCAACUCCUACGGGCGGCAGCAGUUAGGGAUAUAGGUCAAUGGGCGCUAGCCUGAACCAGCCAAGUAGCGUGAAGGAUGAAGGCUUAUGGAUCGUAAACUUCUUUUAUAUAAGAAUAUGUAUUAUAUGAAUAAGCAUCGGCUAACUCCGUGCCAGCAGCCGCGGUAAUUC